rnacentral:miRNA from 1 species
UGGAAGACUUGUGAUUGUGUUGU